rnacentral:rRNA from 1 species
AUCCAGACUCCACGGGAGGCAGCAGUGGGGGAUAUUGCACAAUGGGGGCAACCCUGAUGCAGCGACGCCGCGUGAGCGAUGGAGUACUUCGGUAUGUAAAGCUCUGUCAGCAGGGAAGAAGAAAGACGGUACCUGACUAAGAAGCCCCGGCUAACUACGUGCCAGCAGCCGCGGUAAUACGUAGGGGGCAAGCGUUAUCCGGAUUUACUGGGUGUAAAGGGAGCGUAGACGGCUGUGCAAGUCUGAAGUGAAAGCCCAAGGCUCAACCAUGGGACUGCUUUGGAAACUGUUAAGCUAGAGUGCUGGAGAGGUAAGCGGAAUUCCUAGUGUAGCGGUGAAAUGCGUAGAUAUUAGGAAGAACACCAGUGGCGAAGGCGGCUUACUGGACAGUAACUGACGUUGAGGCUCGAAAGCGUGGGGAGCAAACAGGAUUAGAUACCCUCGUAGUA